UACAGAGGUCUCAAGCGUUGUUCGGAUUCAUUGGGCGUAAAGGGUGCGUAGGCGGCGCGGUAAGUCGGAUGUGAAAUCUCGGAGCUUAACUCCGAAACUGCAUUCGAUACUGCCGUGCUUGAGGACUGGAGAGGAGACUGGAAUUUACGGUGUAGCGGUGAAAUGCGCAGAUAUCAGGAGGAACACCGGUGGCGAAGGCGGGUCUCUGGGCCGAUACUGACGCUGAGGAGCGAAAGCGUGGGGAGCAAACAGG
rnacentral:rRNA from 1 species